AAAGUCGUAACAAGGUCUCCGUAGGUGAACCUGCGGAGGGAUCAUUAUCGAACGGCCUCCGUGCCUUCACAAACCCCAUCAAACCUGUGGACCGUUCAGAGAGAACGUGUUUCGGCGUCCCCUUCGGAGGGCGCCGCCUUCAUGCAGAUGAAUCGUCCUGUCUGAUUUUGAAACCAUGAGAAUUUAAAACUUUCAACAAAGGAUCUCUUGGCUCUC
rnacentral:misc_RNA from 1 species